CGCGGGGGGCGGGGCGGGGCUGCUCGGGGAGGGGCGCCACCGAGCGGGCCCUGUUGGGUCAGCCCCAACGCCUCCCGCCCGGGUCCAGACCCGCGCCCCAAACCCGCUCUCUGCGCCUCGUCUCCCGGACGGGUAAACUGAGGCCUGGAGAGGGCUCGGGGCUAGGGUUCGAGUCCCGCCGCCAGUCACCCACUCCGAGGAGGCGCAGGGACCGGGGGGCGAGACAGCGAUGCCAAGAGCGGUCAGCUCUCGGCCCUGCAGACCGACUGACGCAGGACGCCGCCUCGGGCUCAGAGCCGGCGCUCUGGGGCUCGAGUCCCCGCCCCACUGCUGACCAGCUGUGUGAUGGAUGACCUUGAAAGGCGCUCUUAAGACCCAAGCCAGGACGAGGGAUAUGUUCACAAGGCACUGGCAUUCCAGGCAGAGGGGUAGAAACCAGAAGGUGCAGGACAGGACUGAGACCCCCAUUGCCUUGCUGGCUAUCAAUCAGGAACGACUUUCAGGUCCUUGCCUCAUGCCCUGCCUUCCGUCUCAUCCACAGAGAAUCUCUCACAUCAAAUCCUGCUCACUCUUUGAAUCUUUCUGAAGACCCUUCAACUGUCAGAGAAAACUCUGAACUUUUACAGAACUUGUAAUUAGGUCCAGUCAAGCCAGGUAACCUCCCUCCUCGAGGGCAACUGUACCAUGUUACAUAAAUCUAAUGUCAAGAA